rnacentral:rRNA from 1 species
UACGUAGGUCCCGAGCGUUGUCCGGAUUUAUUGGGCGUAAAGCGAGCGCAGGUGGUUUAUUAAGUCUGGUGUAAAAGGCAGUGGCUCAACCAUUGUAUGCAUUGGAAACUGGUAGACUUGAGUGCAGGAGAGGAGAGUGGAAUUCCAUGCGUAGCGGUGAAAUGCGUAGAUAUAUGGAGGAACACCGGUGGCGAAAGCGGCUCUCUGGCCUGUAACUGACACUGAGGCUCGAAAGCGUGGGGAGCAAACAGG